rnacentral:tRNA from 1 species
GGGGCUGUAGCUCAACUGGCAGAGCAUCGCCUUUGCAAGGCGGGGGUUAGGGGUUCGAGUCCCCUCAGCUCCACC